AAUGCAAAAGAAUACCAUAUGAACUUAUCAUUUUAGAUUUAAGAUGUAUACAGUUGGUAAAUGAGUAAAACCACUAAUCAGCAAAUCAGUUAAUAAAAGACUCAAAGAAUGUAAAAAUCAAAUUUCUGUUGUGCAGCCUUUGUUCCGUGGUAGAGAAUCUGUUUAUUGCAUCUGAGCUUCCAUUUGAUUCUUUGGAGAAUUAGUAUUUCGUGGCCAUGCGAAGCAAUUGACAUGAGGAACACUGCACAAGGAUUGUCCUCCGUCUCUGAUUCUUUUCCAAUUCCACUCUGAUCUAGUUGGCCUUUGAUAGACAGAGAUAGAACUUUGACAUCUGGAGAUGUAAACAUAUGCAAAUGACUUGAACCAGCUCCAUCAUCUCAUCACAGCAGGGAAUAAGAGUGCCGAAGUACUGUGACUACGGUUGCUGUAUUUGAUUUGUGCCAAAGUAAGAGAGCCUUUAGACUUUUUCCCAUAAUGUUUGAAAGAAACUAUUGAAAUUCAAAAGAAGAUAUCAAAAGGUAGCCUCCCUUGCUGCUGAUGCUGUACCAUGUAUAUCAGUAUAUGUCCACAAAUCAGGCCCUGUACACCUUUGCACCCUUCUCUUUAGCACAUUCAGCCAUCCAACUCACAGACUGGCUGUCAUGGUCAGACAUAGUCAACAUUCAGCCAUCCAACUCAAGAACCUUUUCCUCUCCUGCUCUUCUUGUCCAUCAUCAAGGUUGCACGAGAAUGAUAUAGGCUUCCAUAGUGAAAGAUGCAUUAACACGAAUCUUUCUACAAAACCAAACAUUUUUCUACAAGAAGAAAGAGCUAAGAAGAAACCCAGCAAGGAAACUGCAACAUUCCG
rnacentral:lncRNA from 1 species